rnacentral:rRNA from 1 species
UACGGGGGGAGCAAGCGUUGUUCGGAUUUACUGGGCGUAAAGGGCGCGUAGGCUGUCAGCACAAGUCAGUUGUGAAAUCUCCGGGCUUAACUCGGAAAGGUCAACUGAUACUGUGCGACUAGAGUGCGGAAGGGGCAACUGGAAUUCUCGGUGUAGCGGUGAAAUGCGUAGAUAUCGAGAGGAACACCUGCGGCGAAGGCGGGUUGCUGGGCCGACACUGACGCUGAGGCGCGAAAGCCAGGGGAGCGAACGGG